ensembl:lncRNA
GCACCAUCAUCAGGCCCUGACGGAGCUCUCCUUCGAAGCCUGGUCAGCUUUCUGAAGAGCGAUCACAAAUGAUCCCUCACUGAACUGCAGGCGUGUCUGGUGUCAUGAUUAUACAUCAUGGCUGUCUUCUUCGUUCUACCGCAUUAGCUUCAACUACAUCCAUGACAAAGGGUCAAUGACUGCACAUUAACCAGUCGGUGCUGCAACGAGCCCCUCAAGCAUGAAGCACAGCCAACCGGACACACUGUAGAUAAAUAGCAUACGCUUCAUAACACGCAGAACCCACACCUCCCUGACCUCUGCUGUUAGUGAAGCAAAUUAAGUCUCUACAGAGCUCUGAAUGCCUGAGGAGAACCGUGGAGCAGUUAAAGAC